rnacentral:rRNA from 1 species
UACAGAGGUCUCAAGCGUUGUUCGGAUUCAUUGGGCGUAAAGGGUGCGUAGGCGGCGCGGUAAGUCGGGUGUGAAAUCUUGGAGCUUAACUCCGAAAACUGCAUUCGAUACUGCCGUGCUUGAGGACUGGAGAGGAGACUGGAAUUUACGGUGUAGCGGUGAAAUGCGUAGAUAUCGUAAGGAAGACCAGUGGCGAAGGCGGGCCUCUGGACAGUUCCUGACGCUGAGGCACGAAGGCCAGGGGGAGCAAAACAGG